rnacentral:rRNA from 1 species
AUUGAACGCUGGCGGCAUGCUUUACACAUGCAAGUCGAACGGCAGCGCGGGCUUCGGCCUGGCGGCGAGUGGCGAACGGGUGAGUAAUACAUCGGAACGUGCCCAGUAGUGGGGGAUAGCUCGGCGAAAGCCGGAUUAAUACCGCAUACGGCCUGAGGGUGAAAGCGGGGGAUCUUCGGACCUCGCGCUAUUGGAGCGGCCGAUGGCGGAUUAGCUAGUUGGUGGGGUAAAGGCCUACCAAGGCGACGAUCUGUAGCUGGUCUGAGAGGACGACCAGCCACACUGGGACUGAGACACGGCCCAGACUCCUACGGGAGGCAGCAGUGGGGAAUUUUGGACAAUGGGCGAAAGCCUGAUCCAGCAAUGCCGCGUGUGUGAUGAAGGCCUUCGGGUUGUAAAGCACUUUUGGCGGGAACGAAAAGGACUGUGCCAAUACCACGGUUCGAUGACGGUACCCGCAGAAUAAGCACCGGCUAACUACGUG